rnacentral:rRNA from 1 species
GACGUAGGGCGCAAGCGUUGUCCGGAUUUAUUGGGCGUAAAGAGCUCGUAGGCGGCUUGUUGCGUCGACCGUGAAAACCCGCGGCUCAACUGCGGGUCUGCAGUCGAUACGGGCAGGCUAGAGUUCGGUAGGGGAGACUGGAAUUCCUGGUGUAGCGGUGAAAUGCGCAGAUAUCAGGAGGAACACCGAUGGCGAAGGCAGGUCUCUGGGCCGAUACUGACGCUGAGGAGCGAAAGCGUGGGGAGCGAACAGG